GUUGGGAUAGCUCAGUUG
rnacentral:tRNA from 1 species